UUGGUCAUGGCGAAGAUAACCGAAUCCAACAUUUGGUCUACAAGAUUAUGGUAAACCAAACCGGUAUGAGGAUCGGUAUAAGUUGAGUUUCCUUGAAACAGAGCGAAAUCCAACGUGGUGUGAUUAGGGUUUCUUGACCAACGGAAGUAAGGUUGAAGAUUGAUAAAGAAGUAAGAGUUUGUUCCGUUGAGAAACUUCAGCAACGGCAACAUUAACGGUAAGGCGAUAUCUCCCCGGAAUGUUGAGUUCGACGGCGGAAACGUUGAUCGAAGAGAAUCCAUAGCUAAAGGUGUACCGACUUUGAUGUUGUGAAUCCCAUGGGCUCUGAGAGAGUUCACGAUUUUUCGCAUUGCCGGUACGACAUUGCCGGUUAUGUUCCUAUCUUUGACGGAGAGGAUUUCGUUUCCAACAAGGACAAAUCGUAUUUGUGUUUGUGGGUAGUAAGGGAGGAUAUUGGUUUUGACCCAAUCUUCAGCUGUAGUUUGGUUGGCGCUGAGGGAAGUGAUCUGGUGGGUUGGCACCGCUAUGGUGACGUAGAGAUUGGUUUGAGAGAGGAGUGUUAGACUCUCUGGAUCGGCGUCGUAGAGCUUGACAUGACCGGCUUUGAUGAGUUUGAUGAAAUUGAUCGAUUGGUAAGGAGAUGGUAGGUUGUUUCCUUGUCUACCAUAGUUAAUACCAAUCUUGCUGGCUAACUCUAGCAUCGUUUUUUUCUGUAUAUACCUGUGCGGAUGUUGGAACCCAACCGCUGAGCAACUUGUACCUGUAAAAUCAAGAAAAUUAUGUUCAAUAUGAAUCUAAAAUGUAAGCAUCAUGGUGCACUUUGCAUAUGAUUCUUUGAUGGAGAAGAUGGCUUACUUGAAAAGACGACGAGGGUGAAGAGGAAGAAAGCAAGAAGAGACAUGUCUUUUUGUGUUUGGUUCGCAGUGUGUUAAUUGUGAUCAGAUUGUGGUAUGAGUAGGAAAAUGAGUAGGAAUGGUGUGAAAUUGGAGAUGAUGCAUCGAGGUAUUAAGUAGGAGUAUGGUGAAAGUUUAGUGGUGUAAAGAUAAUACAUUUAUAUUGAGUCAUGCAAGCGUAGCUUUUUUUUUUUGGCUUUUGGUUUCUUUUGAAACUAUAUCAUAAUUCUUUUGUGCUAUGAUUUUUAAAGAUUGUUGGUUAGAUGGUUCAUAUUGAACCACUCUUUUCCUGAUUUAUAACUUCAUCGUUUUACAUGUUGCGAGUUUUGUAAUGGUGACUGUAGAUUAGAAAAGUACUUCAACUAUAUAAAAGACUUUUUUGUACAUUGAGUUGAGAAGACUAAUGAAAAUCCUAUAUAUAAUCUUAACUGAACGGGACUCUCUAGGUCGAAAAACAAAGCCCUUUAUUAUGAACUACAAGUUUUGCCCUCAAAUUCAGACAUAAUCUUUUUAAGAAUAUCUUUUAUUUGGUUUUGUGUUUGAAGUUUGUUUAAAUUAUCAGGUUCAGAUAUCACUUUGUUAUUAUUUUGUCUUCUUUCAUUUAUUAAUGCCUUUUCCCAGUAAUAUUUUUUUAUAAUGAAUGUUAAAUAUUUUAAAAGAUGGAAACUCAUAUGUAGCUACUUGUGAAAAUGAUGUCAUCUACGUACACAAGCACCACAACGUAAUCAUCUUUUCUUCUGCGUACAAACAAAGAAUGAUCACCAUGAUCUUUAGUCAAUUCCAAAUCCAAAAGAGCAGAAGAAAACUUUCUAAACCACUGAAACUUGUUUUAACCCACAUAUAGAUUUCUUGAAUCGUAAAACAGCUCUUGGUGAUAGAGUAAUGCCUUUUCUCUCGGCAUCCUUAUGGUAUCUUCAUGAGGAUUUCUUCAUCUAAAUCCGCAUUCAAAAACGCAUUAGAAAUGUCACGUUGAGUAAGAGACCAUUUCUUAGUUGCGGAAACUUUGAGAAGAAGUUUGACUUUUGCCAUUUUAGCUACAUGGGAAAAGAUUUCAUUGUAAUGCUGACUCUCUUUCUGCAUAUAUUCUUGUGUCUCUCAAGAGUUCCAUUAGCGUUGAAUUUUAAAGUAUAAAGACACAUACAACCUGCAUAUUUCUUUACAAUAGGAAGACUAGUAACAUCCCAUAUUUUUGUUGAUUUCAUAGCUUUAAUUUCAACAUCCACUGCUUCACACCAUUUCUUGGAUUUCUGAGCCUCAAAAAAUGAAGUAGGAAUAGAAAUUUAUGUAAGGUUGUUUAUGUAAGAAAGGUAUGAAGGAUAUAGUUUUGAGUAUGAAAUACAAGAUGAAAUAGGAUGGUAUAUGAUGCAGCAUCACAUACGACAUUGGCGCCAACUUAGACUAUUCGAAUAUGUCUAAUUUCCGGUUUUAGUUUUCUUAUCGGUUUUCCUUUUUAUUUAAAUUUCCUUUUACAAUUAAGUCAUUGAUAUCCUUUUCCUAUUAGGGUUUGUCUAAAGGAAGGGAUAUAUAAACAAGUUUAGUCUUCAUUGUUUGGAUACGUUUGAUUUUAUAAUAGAAGAGCUUUGCUUUUAUCUCUUGUUUAGAUUCGAUUAAAUUCAAAACAGGAAGUUGGUCUCAAGAAGCUAUCGAGAGAAACUCUUGAUCGAUCCAAGAACAGGUCUCGAAGAACUCUAAAUUCUUAGAUCGACCGUUCACCCAUUCGUACGCUGUGCCAGGUUGGUAUCAGAGCUCUGCUACGCCCCGAAUCCUUCUCAACCCGCUACAAUGGUUCGUAAGACUCGUGCUCAGCAAUACGCUGAUGACGAAGAUAUCUCGGCUACUCAACAAUCUGUUAUUGAGCUCCAGGAACAGAUUGCAGACCUAGCUACCGCCGUCGCUGCAUUAACCGCACGACAAGCUGCACCUGCACUUCCCUCCGCAACGACCAGAUAUCUAUCCAUGAUAACUCCGACGAAGACGACGAGAAUCCAUUCGCUCCUCUUCGACAACCACAAAAACAUCAACGACCUCGACGCCGCAUCAACAAUAGCUCCGAUUCAGAAGAAGAAGCUAACGAGUCAUCAUGGAAAUCCAGCUUCAAGCUCGAGCUCCCAGUAUUCAAUGGCUCCACGAACGCUGAGGAAUUAUUGGAUUGGUUUGUAACGAUAGAAAAAAUUCUCGAGUUUAGAGAAAUUUCAUUGAACCGCUUUGUACCCCUAGUCGCCAUACGCUUCCGUGACCGAGCAGCCGCUUGGUGGUCACAAGUUAAAACGACAAGAGCACGAUUGGGAAAAUCGAAGAUUACUACUUGGGAUAAGCUUAAACGAGAGAUGCAAAAAAAAAUAUCUCCCGUACAACUAUGAUCAACUUAUGUUUCAGAAAUUUCAGAAUCUACGACAAGGCAUUCGAUCCGUCGACGAGUACGCGACAUAAUUUUUUAGAAUGAUCAACCGUGUGGAGAUUCGUGAUACCGAAGAACAACUAACAAUGCGUUUUGUGGGAGGUCUUGGCCAACAAAUCCAACACACUCUGAACCUGUUUCGUCCACAUUCUAUCUCAGAAGCUCAUCAGCAAGCCCUCACGAUAGAAACUCAGAACCGAACCGGUUCUCAAUCUUGGACGGCUCGAAAAACUCGACAGAAUCAAGCUGUUUCUUCAGCUACCCCCGAUAUUGUGCCUCCUAAGUCAGAAACCGCGAUCGUACCUGUCGACCCUUUGAAACAGCAACGCACGGGUGGCUUACGUUGUUUCUCGUGUGGAGAGACCGGUCACCGUCAAGCUUCUUGCCCACAUUGUAACAAACGUGGACUUCUUAUUGAAGAUAUCACGGGUGAUCAAGAACCGACGAAUGACGACGAAGAAAUAGAAACAGAAGAAGAAUUGUACCCAUCUUCAUGUUUUGUAAACAAAAAAAAAUUAUAUAUUUAAUAGUUAUUUGAUGUUUUUCUCAACAUUAAGCCACACGAAACAGAAACCAGAAAAUCUAGAGUGAGUAAAUACGAAUAAUCCAGCUUUGAUCAUCUUAAAUCUCUUUCAGGCGUUCUUGCUCACAGAGUAACGCUCGGGAACUUGCAGCGAUCAUUUCCUGUGAAAAGGCUUUAUUAUUUACAAUAUAUUCCACAAAUACCCUUACACUGUCACAUGAUCCGUGACUAUACAAAGGUUUAUUUAUAUCCAAUUUUGGAGAAAAAUAAAUAAAUGACUCACCAGGGUUAGUCGUGGUCUCAUGAGCCAAUCCAUUAAAGUAACAUUGGACGUUUUGGCUACGGAACUGAGCCCAGUACGAGUUAAGCGCGUAGCUUGCGUGCGAAUAAACAGAGACCGGCUCGUAACAUUCUCUGCCAGGAGCCAAAGCCGCACACGUCGUGUUGCUUCGGGCACAAGCCAUCCUCAAAGCUUCCUCAAGCUCAGCCUCGUUGGCUCCUUCGACCAGUACGCACCACACUUGACCCUUGUAAGGAACGUUAUUGGUCGGUUUAGGCAGAGGGUUAAAACCGGUUAAGGGUUUUUGACCGGUAAAAUCAAUGUCGUAGAUUGGUGUACCGUCCGGAUGCAAGAUUCCCCAAUGUCUUUGUGUUCCCGAACCGGGUUUCUUGUUUUCGUUAAAUAAGGAGAAAACAAAUGUCGGUAUAGGUGAACCGGGUCUAGCUGGUGUACCGAUUGGUGGAGUUGCGGUCAUCUUCUUGAUCAAAUUCCGGUUAUACGUGGCGGCGUUGAAAACGUUAGCUCCGAUUUCGUCGAUGUCGCCGGAGUUAGGCCAUCCGGUUUCAGAGAUUGCGAUACGGAUGUAUGGAUAACCGAGCUUGGUCAUGGCGAAGAUAACCGAAUCCAACAUUUGGUCUACAAGAUUAUGGUAAACCAAACCGGUAUGAGGAUCGGUAUAAGUUGAGUUUCCUUGAAACAGAGCGAAAUCCAACGUGGUGUGAUUAGGGUUUCUUGACCAACGGAAGUAAGGUUGAAGAUUGAUAAAGAAGUAAGAGUUUGUUCCGUUGAGAAACUUCAGCAACGGCAACAUUAACGGUAAGGCGAUAUCUCCCCGGAAUGUUGAGUUCGACGGCGGAAACGUUGAUCGAAGAGAAUCCAUAGCUAAAGGUGUACCGACUUUGAUGUUGUGAAUCCCAUGGGCUCUGAGAGAGUUCACGAUUUUUCGCAUUGCCGGUACGACAUUGCCGGUUAUGUUCCUAUCUUUGACGGAGAGGAUUUCGUUUCCAACAAGGACAAAUCGUAUUUGUGUUUGUGGGUAGUAAGGGAGGAUAUUGGUUUUGACCCAAUCUUCAGCUGUAGUUUG
rnacentral:lncRNA from 1 species